rnacentral:rRNA from 1 species
AACGAACGCUGGCGGCAGGCUUAACACAUGCAAGUCGAACGCCCCGCAAGGGGAGUGGCAGACGGGUGAGUAACGCGUGGGAACGUGCCCUUCGCUUCGGAAUAGCCCCGGGAAACUGGGAGUAAUACCGAAUACGCCGUAUUGGGAAAGAUUUAUCGGCGAAGGAUCGGCCCGCGUCAGAUUAGCUAGUUGGCGGUGUAAUGGACCACCAAGGCUACGAUCUAUAGCUGGUCUGAGAGGAUGAUCAGCCACACUGGGACUGAGACACGGCCCAGACUCCUAAGGGAGGCAGCAGGGGGGAAUCUUGGACAAUGGGCGCAAGCCUGAUCCAGCCAUGGCGCGUGAGUGAAGAAGGCCUUAGGGUUGUAAAACUCUUUCGCCGGAGAAGAUAAUGACGGUAUCCGGAGAAGAAGCCCCGGCUAACUUCGUGCCAGCCGCCGCCGUAAAAC